GACGAACGCUGGCGGCGUGCCUAAUACAUGCAAGUCGAGCGAACAGAGAAGGAGCUUGCUCCUUCGACGUUAGCGGCGGACGGGUGAGUAACACGUGGGCAACCUACCUUAUAGUUUGGGAUAACUCCGGGAAACCGGGGCUAAUACCGAAUAAUCUGUUUCACCUCAUGGUGUAACACUGAAAGACGGUUUCGGCUGUCGCUAUGGGAUGGGCCCGCGGCGCAUUAGCUAGUUGGUGAGGUAACGGCUCACCAAGGCGACGAUGCGUAGCCGACCUGAGAGGGGGAUCGGCCACACUGGGACUGAGGCACGGCCCAGACCCCUACGGGAGGCAGCAGUAGGGAAUCUUCCACAAUGGGCGAAAGCCUGAUGGAGCAACGCCGCGUGAGUGAAGAAGGAUUUCGGUUCGUAAAACUCUGUUGUAAGGGAAGAACAAGUACAGUAGUAACUGGCUGUACCUUGACGGUACCUUAUUAGAAAGCCACGGCUAACUACGUGCCAGCCGCCGCAGUAA
rnacentral:rRNA from 1 species